AGGCGGCAGCUACACAUGCAGUCGAGCGGUAACAGGUCGUAGCUUGCUACCCGCUGACGAGCGGCGGACGGGUGAGUAAUGCAUAGGAAUUUACCCGAUAGUGGGGGAUAACCUGGGGAAACCCAGGCUAAUACCGCAUACGUCCUACGGGAGAAAGGGGGCUUCGGCUCCCGCUAUCGGAUGAGCCUAUGCCGGAUUAGCUGGUUGGUGAGGUAAUGGCUCACCAAGGCGACGAUCCGUAGCUGGUCUGAGAGGAUGAUCAGCCACAUCGGGACUGAGACACGGCCCGAACUCCUACGGGAGGCAGCAGUGGGGAAUAUUGGACAAUGGGCGCAAGCCUGAUCCAGCCAUGCCGCGUGUGUGAAGAAGGCCCUCGGGUUGUAAAGCACUUUCAGCGAGGAAGAACGCCUGGCGGUUAAUACCCGCCAGGAAAGACAUCACUCGCAGAAGAAGCACCGGCUAACUCCGUGCCAGCAGCCGCGGUAAUACGGAGGGUGCAAGCGUUAAUCGGAAUUACUGGGCGUAAAGCGCGCGUAGGUGGCUUGAUAAGCCGGUUGUGAAAGCCCCGGGCUCAACCUGGGAACGGCAUCCGGAACUGUCAGGCUAGAGUGCAGGAGAGGAAGGUAGAAUUCCCGGUGUAGCGGUGAAAUGCGUAGAGAUCGGGAGGAAUACCAGUGGCGAAGGCGGCCUUCUGGACUGACACUGACACUGAGGUGCGAAAGCGUGGGUAGCAAACAGGAUUAGAUACCCUGGUAGUCCACGCCGUAAACGAUGUCGACCAGCCGUUGGGUGCCUAGCGCACUUUGUGGCGAAGUUAACGCGAUAAGUCGACCGCCUGGGGAGUACGGCCGCAAGGUUAAAACUCAAAUGAAUUGACGGGGGCCCGCACAAGCGGUGGAGCAUGUGGUUUAAUUCGAUGCAACGCGAAGAACCUUACCUACUCUUGACAUCUACAGAAGCUC
rnacentral:rRNA from 1 species